rnacentral:rRNA from 1 species
CAGUAGCCGCGGGAAUACGUAGGGUGCAAGCGUUAAUCGGAAUUACUGGGCGUAAAGCGUGCGCAGGCGGUUAUAUAAGUCAGAUGUGAAAUCCCCGGGCUCAACCUGGGAAUGGCAGUGGAUACUGGCAAGCUAGAGUGUGUCAGAGGAUGGUGGAAUUCCCGGUGUAGCGGUGAAAUGCGUAGAGAUCGGGAGGAACAUCAGUGGCGAAGGCGGCCAUCUGGGACAACACUGACGCUGAGGCACGAAAGCGUGGGGAGCAAACAGGAUUAGAUACCCGCGUAGUCCCUGUCUCUUAUAC